rnacentral:lncRNA from 1 species
AGUGACUACGACAGGCUAAGAGCUGUGCCCUUCUACCAGGAGCUCAGGUGGCAGCUUCGAGUAGAGUAGUCCUCUUCUGGAAGGUGCUUUUGGUGACAGAGCAGCCACUUCUGGACCUAUCCUGACUGACUGUAAUGCAGUUCUUUGUCCUGCUGACAAUUCUUUGCUUAUUGUCACCCAGUUACAAAUGCUGACCUGUCCUCGAUGCUGACACAACAGUUGUAACCAAGACAGCUCCUGAACGAAACAGGAAAAACCCAUCCAUCUAUAGUGUGUUUAGACAUGGUUUCUAUGGAGAAGAAACAGUCUGGUUGCUUGGAAGUCUUCCGUGUACUCAUCCAGCUGUUUCCGGGUAAUAAAGUCUAUGAAGAAAUAAAGACCUCUGGGAGCUGGACUUGCAGGCCUAAAAGCAAAGGACCUGCUUUCUCAUGAGGCACCAUUUGACGCCACAAGCCCGAAGCAGCCUCUCUGUAAGUUGACUGCCUCAGAUAUUUACUGUGGAUACAGAGAGCUAACUACCACCAACCCAAAUGAUCCUGUGCUUAUUAAAAACGAAACAAAAGAAACGCAGAGACUUGCUCUUCAUUGGAAACACAGCACCUGACGUUUUAGUUACAGAAUACAAAAGGACGGGAGGAAGGAAACAGAGAAGUGAACUCUACCCAUGAUUGUACAUCCUAAGUGGAACCUACCUUCCUCUUCAUUUACCACGAAAGGCCAGCUGUCAUGGAAAGCUGUUCCUGUACCCAUUACCAUUCUUUUAUCAGAAAGGAAGAUAAAACCUUAACAAAAGAACAGAUGAUCUGAGGCUGCUGGUUCCCCCAACUCCAAAUCUGCUUCUGAGAGGAAGUUGCAUCCUUGCAGAAUUAUUAUUAUCAAUCAGCCUUUAUUGCUUCGGCUUUCUUUAUUGCAUUCUAACACACAAAGUAAUGAAAACAUAUAAUAAAG